rnacentral:rRNA from 1 species
AACGCGAAGAACCUUACCCAGGCUCGAAAUAUAAAGGGCGCUACCAGAGAUGGUAGCUUCCGCAAGGACCUUUACAUAGGUGCUGCAUGGCUGUCGUCAGCUCGUGCCGUGAGGUGUUGGGUUAAGUCCCGCAACGAGCGCAACCCUUAUCAUUAGUUGCCAACACGCGAGGUGGGGACUCUAAUGAGACUGCCUAGGUUAACUAGGAGGAAGGUGAGGAUGACGUCAAGUCCGCAUGGCCUUUAUGUCUGGGGCUACACAUGUGCUACAAUGGUCGGUACAGAAGGCAGCAAGACCGCAAGGUGGAGCAAAUCCGUAAAGCCGAUCACAGUUCAGAUUGUAGUCUGCAACUCGACUACAUGAAGUCGGAAUUGCUAGUAAUGACGUGUCAGCAACAACGUCGUGAAUACGUUCCCGGGCCUUGUACACACCGCUCGUC